UCUUCCUCCCUCCCCGUCGUGUUCUCUCCUCCACCUCCUCACAACCCACUCAACCGGCGGCAACCAUUUUCCUCACAAUCUCCAAUCAUGACUGUAUUAAUUCAUCACCAUAUUCCUCUUUUCUUUCACCAUAUUCUCCAUCACAGACACCCAAGUCCCACCCACGUUUUGCAUCAGAAGAGGAGGGGCCAUUGAUUGUGCUUGAGAAAAGGAAAGAUUUGAAUCAAAUUGAAAGGUCGGCGGAGACGACGAUGACGGAGCACCGAAUGCUUGAAGAUAAAAACAUAAGACAGGAUUUUCACUUGGUUUUUGGGUGGUUGAAAAUAUUGUUGUUGGUGGCGUUUUUGGAGAGAAGGAAGAGGAACAGGGGAGACACAAAGGAGGCAGGAAGGUGGAAAAGUUAAAAUGAAGUUUCAAAGAAUCGAUUCUAUUUUCAAGAGGAAGGCCGUUGAUAUUCAAAGAGAUGAAGUUAUAAUUUCUUCAUCCGAACCUGAACAAGUUCAUGAGAAUCCAAGAAUUGAAGAAAAUGAGUCUCGUCCUUCAAAGAUUAAUAGAGUUGAUCCGGUUGACAUUGAAAAUUCUUUAGAAAGGGAUCCAGGAAAACGUAUUGCAAUUUGGCAAUAUCCACCAAAUCAAAAUGAUACAAUACGAAGAGUCUAUCUAAAAUGAGGUCCUUAUCAAUCAAACUUAGAAAACUAUCCCAUGGCGUCUUGUUAUGAUUCUUCCGGUUUCUACAGCCACAACUGAAAGGUUUUUUUCAGCAAUGAAAAUUAUCAAAUCUAAGUUGAGAAACAAGAUGGGACAUGAGUUUUUAGCAAAUAGCAUGUGAGUUUACAUCGAAAGGGAUAUUAGUGAAUGUAUUAGUUCUGAAUCAAUUUUUGAUGAUUUCAAGUCACUCGGAAAGCCUAAAGUGUGUCUUUAGGUAUGCAAUGAUCGACUUUAUAUAUUAUGUAGUUUAAAUUUUGAAUGAUUGAUUUUUGGUUUA